rnacentral:rRNA from 1 species
UACGUAGGGUGCAAGCGUUAAUCGGAAUUACUGGGCGUAAAGCGUGCGCAGGCGGCUAUGCAAGACAGAUGUGAAAUCCCCGGGCUCAACCUGGGAACUGCAUUUGUGACUGCAUGGCUAGAGUACGGCAGAGGGGGAUGGAAUUCCGCGUGUAGCAGUGAAAUGCGUAGAUAUGCGGAGGAACACCGAUGGCGAAGGCAAUCCCCUGGGCCUGUACUGACGCUCAUGCACGAAAGCGUGGGGAGCAAACAGU